CAGUAGCCACGGUAAUACGUAGGGUGCAAGCGUUAAUCGGAAUUACUGGGCGUAAAGCGCGCGUAGGUGGUUUGUUAAGUUGGAUGUGAAAUCCCCGGGCUCAACCUGGGAACUGCAUCCAAAACUGGCAAGCUAGAGUAUGGUAGAGGGUGGUGGAAUUUCCUGUGUAGCGGUGAAAUGCGUAGAUAUAGGAAGGAACACCAGUGGCGAAGGCGACCACCUGGACUGAUACUGACACUGAGGUGCGAAAGCGUGGGGAGCAAACAGGAUUAGAUACCCCCGUAGUCCCUGUCUCUUAUAC
rnacentral:rRNA from 1 species